rnacentral:rRNA from 1 species
GAUGAACGCUAGCUACAGGCUUAACACAUGCAAGUCGAGGGGCAGCAUGAUUGAAGCUUGCUUCAAUCGAUGGCGACCGGCGCACGGGUGAGUAACACGUAUCCAACCUGCCGAUAACUCGGGGAUAGCCUUUCGAAAGAAAGAUUAAUACCCGAUAGUAUAGUAUUUCCGCAUGGUUUCACUAUUAAAGAACUUCGGUUAUCGAUGGGGAUGCGUUCCAUUAGAUAGUUGGCGGGGUAACGGCCCACCAAGUCAACGAUGGAUAGGGGUUCUGAGAGGAAGGUCCCCCACAUUGGAACUGAGACACGGUCCAAACUCCUACGGGAGGCAGCAGUGAGGAAUAUUGGUCAAUGGACGAGAGUCUGAACCAGCCAAGUAGCGUGAAGGAUGACUGCCCUAUGGGUUGUAAACUUCUUUUAUACGGGAAUAAAGUGGAGUAUGCAUACUCCUUUGUAUGUACCGUAUGAAUAAGGAUCGGCUAACUCCGU